AGCAGCCGCAGUAAUUCCAGCUCCAAUAGCGUAUAUUAAAGUUGUUGCAGUUAAAAAGCUCGUAGUUGAAUUUCGGGAUUAGUACGUUGGUCGUGCCUUCGGUACGUACUGGUGUUACUGGUUCCUACCUUCUGACGAACCAUCAUGUCAUUAAUUUGGUGUGGUGGGGAAUCAGGACUGUUACUUUGAAAAAAUUAGAGUGUUUAAAGCAGGCUCGCGCUUGAAUACAUUAGCAUGGAAUAAUGAAAUAGGACGUUGACCCUAUUUUGUUGGUUUCUAGGAUUGACGUAAUGAUUAAUAGGGAUAGUUGGGGGCAUUAGUAUUCAAUUGUCAGAGGUGAAAUUCUUGGAUUUAUUGAAGACUAACUACUGCGAAAGCAUUUGCCAAGGAUGUUUUCAUUAAUCAAGAACGAAAGUUAGGGGAUCGAAGACGAUCAGAUACCGUCGUAGUCUUAACCAUAAACUAUGCCGACUAGGGAUCGGAUGAUGUUAUUUUUAAUGACUC
rnacentral:rRNA from 1 species